rnacentral:rRNA from 1 species
UGAGUAACACGUGAGCAACCUACCUUCGAGAUCGGGAUAGCCCUGGGAAACCAGGAUUAAUACCGGAUGUGGUCACGACGGGACAUCCCGACGUGAAAAAAGGCGUAAGCCGCUCGAUGACGGGCUCGCGGCCUAUUAGCUUGUUGGUGGGGUAAUGGCCUACCAAGGCGACGAUGGGUAGCUGGUCUGAGAGGACGAUCAGCCACACUGGGACUGAGACACGGCCCAG